rnacentral:rRNA from 1 species
CCUACGGGUGGCAGCAGUGGGGAAUAUUGGGCAAUGUAGGCAACUCUGAACCAGCAACGCCGCGUGAAUGAUGAAGGUCUUCGGAUUGUAAAGUUCUGUGAUGGGGGAUGAACACAAUGACGUUACCCCAAUAGCAAGCCACGGCUAACUACGUGCCAGCAGCCGCGGUAAUACGUAGGUGGUAAGCGUUAUCCGGAAUGACUGGGCGUAAAGGGUGCGUAGGUGGUUUAGUAAGUUUGCGGUGUAAUUCCGGGGCUCAACCUCGGCGCUACAGCCAAAACUAUUAGACUAGAGUGCAGGAGGGGUAGGUGGAAUGCCUGGUGUAGCGGUGGAAUGCGUAGAUAUCAGGAGGAACACCAGGGGCGAAGGCGACUUACUGGACUGUAACUGACGCUGAGGCACGAAAGCGUGGGGAGCAAACAGGAUUAGAUACCCCUGUAGUC